UACGUAGGGUGCAAGCGUUGUCCGGAAUUAUUGGGCGUAAAGAGCUCGUAGGUGGCCUGUCGCGUCGGCUGUGAAAACUCGGGGCUCAACUCCGAGCUUGCAGUCGAUACGGGCAGGCUAGAGUUCGGCAGGGGAGACUGGAAUUCCUGGUGUAGCGGUGAAAUGCGCAGAUAUCAGGAGGAACACCGGUGGCGAAGGCGGUUCUCUGGGCCUUACCUGACGCUGAGGAGCGAAAGCGUGGGGAGCGAACAGG
rnacentral:rRNA from 1 species